UUUCAAUUCUUCCAUGUUUCAGCAGUAGCAUAUUGUUCCAAGAAUUUUUCUUUUCCAUCAAUUCCAUAAAGUCGAGUAGAUGCAAUAUACGAAUUUCCCCCCCCCCUCGCUACAUUACAUUGAUUUAGCUGCUACGGUUAGAGCUGAUUCUAGCACAAUCGAUUCUACUCUCACAGGUAACUAUAUUCGCAUAUAUCAAAUAAUAACAUAAUAAUAAGCUAAAGGUAUAUUCAGAUGAGACUAUAUUAGGAUAUCAUCAAUUAUUUAGCUUUUUAUAUUAUAAGCAUUCUAGUUUCUUUUUUGUUCUCGUGAUUCUGUUGGCAGUUAUAAGUAUUAUGCCAACUACUAGAUCAGAAAGUAAAUUACUAUAUGUACCCUCAUUAAUUUAAACAAUUGUUAUGCUUUAGCUGAGUUAUUAUAUAUUUAAGACAUUUAUUUGGCUUUCUGGAACAACGGUGUGGGAUUUUUCAAGUACUAGAGUUUGCUGUGAAUAGUCACUUAUAGAAGCCCAUAUAAAAGAUUUUUCAGUUUUCUGUUUCAGAAUAUUUUUAAUCCUCCAUGUCUACAUGAAAGCUGAGAAGUCUAAUGUGUUUCAAGAAGAUAGAAAUGCAGUCAAUGUGAGAGGACUACAACCUCUUGACAACAGUUGAUGUUUUUGCUUUAGCUAAUACAUAGAUAUCUUCAUAUGUUUAACUGAAUGCUUCAAACCACUGAAUAAACUAUACCAGCAUGUCCAAUUGAACCAGAAGAUUUGCUGCCAAUAGUCGAUAUUCAAGUUCAGCUUGUUGGAUACAGGCCAUUAACGUGUGCAUAAUGUUGAUACUUCCGUGCUGUCGUAUCUGAUGGAGCAAAUGAAUGGCUGAUGACCUGGAACAUCAGGAUGCUAGCACUCAGCAAGUUCAUUAAUGGAUGCAAACGGGCCAACUGAGAACUUUACACUGUUUGGGUUGAGUAAUAGGGCUGGCCGUUGAAAGUUUUGGCAAUCCAUAUCCCAGAACCAUCCUAUUUGCAUAUCUACCUUUAUAUGAAGGCAACUUUACACAAAGGAAUGACUGCUGAGAAUGCUAGAAGAUCAGCUGGCAGGACGAAUUUUAUCUUAUAAGCCUUGUGGUUUAAGAUCAAGCAACCUUGGAGCCUACAAAACCUACCCUAUUAGCCGGGCAGUUGAGGUAGGUACUUGUUCAAGGGAGUUAAAACAUUUCCUGCCGGCAAAAUUUGUGUACCUGUUUCAAGAACAGUGAUCAAGGAUAAGAACCAGGAGUCAUAAGCUUCUCUAAAAUCUCAUUCCACCAUUUUCAGUGACCAGAUAUUCUGCUUGCAAGAUGUUAUCAGAGGCAACUCAAGCUGAACUGAGAAAAACAUACAUUGUCAAUAUCAGAUUUCAUGCUUUCAGUCUUCAGUUCAUGAUCGUAAAUUUUUUUCAAGAGGUUUCUAUGUAGCAAUCAAAUUCUAGGAUCUUCUGCACUAUAUAACACCAAUAGUAGAGGAAAUUAUGCAAGUAUGGUUAUGCAUGGGAUGGAUCAACUGUUGAAUCUACUCAUGAGGUACAUAUAGUACAUGUGCCUGCUGGGUGCCAGUACUGCAAGAAUAUCUUGAGUUGUGGCACUUGUGGAAUUUGCUGCCAUGAGAAUUUUAGUGCAGCUACAAGUUUUAACAAUGUGGCAGCAUUCGAGAAAGUUCAGAAAAGAAAGGGAACUUUUAAGGGGAAAACUUUUCUUCUUUAAACAACUUAUCCUCAAGAAACUCGAAGCUGAAAAGUGGGUAUGGACAUGCCCACGGUGCCAUGUUAUGUCAGUAGGAAUCAUCACUUACCAUUUUAAAUCCUACCAUUAUAAUGACAUAUGUGAGAUUUAUCUACGUUUAAGCACAAGCCGAUACCUGAAAACCAGAUUACAGGUUUCAGUCUAUGGAAUGUUAUAGUAAGUUGAAUGACUCACUGUUGGUU